GACGAACGCUGGCGGCGUGCCUAAUACAUGCAAGUAGAACGCACAGUUUAUACCGUAGCUUGCUACACCAUAGACUGUGAGUUGCGAACGGGUGAGUAACGCGUAGGUAACCUGCCUGGUAGCGGGGGAUAACUAUUGGAAACGAUAGCUAAUACCGCAUAAUAUUAAUUAUUGCAUGAUAAUUAAUUGAAAGGUGCAAUUGCACCACUACCAGAUGGACCUGCGUUGUAUUAGCUAGUAGGUGAGGUAACGGCUCACCUAGGCGACGAUACAUAGCCGACCUGAGAGGGUGAUCGGCCACACUGGGACUGAGACACGGCCCAGACUCCUACGGGAGGCAGCAGUAGGGAAUCUUCGGCGAUGGACGAAAGUCUGACCGAGCAACGCCGCGUGAGUGAAGAAGGUUUUCGGAUCGUAAAGCUCUGUUGUAAGAGAAGAACGGGUGUGAGAGCGGAAAGUUCACACUGUGACGGUAUCUUACCAGAAAGGGACGGCUAACUACGU
rnacentral:rRNA from 1 species